AACUAAUGAUGAUGAUGAUGGCUCAAUAAUUAUUUAUAGGUCAGAUCAUCAUCAUCAUCAUCAUCCAAA